AUUGACUCUAUGGAUUAGGAUAAAUAUCCUUCGUAUAUUGUCUGUACUCCUGCACAACUUUAACUAUCAAAUUGGUGGCCGAAGGGGCUAAAAAAUAUAUUAAUUUUCACACUCUAGGUUUCCUCAGCAAUCUGUUUCCCAUUCCAAAGAAAGGAGGUGGUGUAGGGCUCAUGAUCAAUUUGCAGCCUCUCAACACUUAUAUGCAAUAUCACCAUUUCAAAAAGUAAGCUGUUCAUUGUCUAUUCAAAUUAGACCUCAAGGAUGUCAAUCUCACGUUGCCCAUUGUGACUCACCAUCAGAAUUUUAUUCAAUGCUCUUUUAAAGGAACAAAAUAGCAUUUCAACUGCUUGCCUUUUGGACUCUUUGGCCCUGCGUUCAGCGUCCCCACGCUCUGCAUGGGGAUGCUGAAUUUUCCUCAAGGAGGUCCUGAUUGGCUAAAACUGCAUUUGGCCCUGCCCUGUGCCAAUUUUAGCCAAUCCAAUGCUUUCCAUGGGAAAGCAUUGGAUUGGCUACAAAUCUGCAAUUUUGAUGUCACAAAGGGGGCGGAGACCACGUCGGUGGACCCGCGCGGCACUAGAAAUAAGGUGCGUUUAAAACUUUUACAGGGGAGCAGGCCACCUAAAUGGUGGGUUUAGCACUAUAAGGUCAGGAAUACAUGUUUGUGUUCCUGACCCUAUAGUGAUCCUU